UAAGCAUAUCAAUAAGCGGAGGAAAAGAAACUAACAAGGAUUCCCCUAGUAACUGCGAGUGAAGCGGGAAAAGCUCAAAUUUAAAAUCUGGUGGUCAUUGGCCAUCCGAGUUGUAAUUUAGAGAAGCAUCUUCCGCGCUGGACCCAUGCACAAGUCUCCUGGAAUGGAGCGUCAUAGAGGGUGAGAAUCCCGUCUUUGGCAUGGACACACCAGGGCUUUUGUGAUGUGCUCUCGAAGAGUCGAGUUGUUUGGGAAUGCAGCUCAAAAUGGGUGGUGAACUCCAUCUAAAGCUAAAUAUUGGCGAGAGACCGAUAGCGAACAAGUACCGUGAGGGAAAGAUGAAAAGCACUUUGGAAAGAGAGUGAAACAGUACGUGAAAUUGUUGAAAGGGAAACGCUUGAAGUCAGUCGCGUCGACCGAGACUCAGCCUCGCCUUGGCUUGGUGUACUUCUCGGCUGACGGGUCAGCAUCAAUUUUGCCCCUUGGAUAAUGGCGAGGGAAACGUGACACCUUUUUAGGUGUGUUAUAGUCUCUCGUCGCAUGCAAGGGUCGGGAUUGAGGAACUCAGCACGCACCUUUGGGUGUCGGGGCUUUAGCCCACGAUACGUGCUUAGGAUGUUGGCGUAAUGGCUUUAAACGACCCGUCUUGAAACACGGACCAAGGAGUCUAACAUGCCCGCGAGUGUUUGGGUGGAAAACCCAUUCGCGCAAUGAAAGUGAAAGUUGGGACCUCUGUCGUGGAGGGCACCGACACCCGGACCAGACCUUCUGUGACGGAUCUGCGGUAGAGCGUGUAUGUUAGGACCCGAAAGAUGGUGAACUAUGCCUGAAUAGGGUGAAGCCAGAGGAAACUCUGGUGGAGGCUCGUAGCGAUUCUGACGUGCAAAUCGAUCGUCAAAUUUGGGUAUAGGGGCGAAAGACUAAUCGAACCAUCUAGUAGCUGG
rnacentral:rRNA from 1 species